GAUGAACGCUAGCGGCAGGCUUCCUUCAUGCAAGUCGAGGGGCAGCAUGAGUGUAGCAAUACAUUUGAUGGCGACCGGCAAACGGGUGCGGAACACGUACCCAACUUUCCUCUAAGCGGGGCAUAGCUCGAAAAAAUCCGGAUUAAUACCCCAUAACAUCGUAAAUAGGCAUCUAUUCGCGAUUAAAGAUUUAUCACUUAAAGAUGGGCGUGCGGCUGAUUAGGUAGUUGGCGGGGUAACGGCCCACCAAGCCUGCAAUCAGUAACUGGGGUGAGAGCACAACCAGUCACACGGGCACUGAAACACGGGCCCAACUCCUACGGGAGGCAGCAUUAAGGAAUAUUGGUCAAUGGACAAAAGUCUGAACCACCCAUGCCGCGGGGAGGAUGAAGGUCCUCUGGAUUGUAAACUUCUUUUAUCUGGAACAAAAAAGGGACUUUCUAGUUCAACUGACGGUACCAAAUGAAUAAGCACCGGCUAACUCCGUG
rnacentral:rRNA from 1 species